GACGAAGGAUGCAAGCGUUAUCCGGAUUCAUUGGGUUUAAAGGGAGCGUAGGCGGACUUGUAAGUCAGUGGUGAAAUCUUUGGGCUUAACCCAGAAACUGCCAUUGAUACUGCAGGUCUAGAGUACAGUUGCCGUUGGCGGAAUAUGACAUGUAGUGGUGAAAUACUUAGAUAUGUCAUAGAACACCGAUUGCGAAGGCAGCUAACGAAGCUGUAACUGACGCUGAGGCUCGAAAGUGCGGGGAUCAAACAGG
rnacentral:rRNA from 1 species